ACUCCCAGAAGACAUGGGGGUGCGGGUGGGGGAGAUCCCAACCUCAGCCGCACGGCAAGCGCCGCACCGGUGUCGGUGUCGCCCCACAGGGCAGACUGUGGGCUCAGCGCGUGGCGCCCGGAGCAUCUGACUAGAACAGAGUUUGGGGAGGGGGUGGAAAUCCCCGAACAAAGCCAGGUCCCCGCGGGGGACCUGAAGACGACUUGAGGAAACUGAGGCAGAGCGCCAGAUGUGCAGACGGGCCGACUGCCCUCGCCAGGGGCCCCGCCCCUCGGCUUGGCGGCUCCGCGGCGCGCAGCACCUUUUGCUCAACCCGAGUUAGCCAAGAGGGGCGCCCUACCCACCUCCUACGCACUCCCCAAACUCCCCGGCACGCUGUCCUGUCUCCCAGUCUCCGGUCAAAAGGGCUUGGAUUCCGCCUUCUCGGAGCCAACUUCCUGCCGCUGGGUAAGCGCAGUCAGGGGUUCGCGGCCGAGCCCGUGGGGGGCCGCCUGGAGUCGUGGAGAGGGCGCACGACGACCACUCCCCGGUGCAGCGGGGGCACGGCGACGCGUGCGCGCCCCCGACCCCGGCCAGGCCCCCCACCCCCGCCGCCACGGCUCGGAUCCCGCGACCCGAGAGGACCGAGCCCGCCUUUGAUUCCUCCCCCUUGCCACGCAUGCUCACCUGGCUAGGCGGACCCGGGUCCCGGCCCUGGCCGGAGGGGCUUUGGCAUCAGCGUUCCCGGGACGGCCUCGGCUGGGGCUGGGGCUGCCCGCCGGGCUCGGCUGCGUCCCGGGGCUGGGGACUAGACGGAGCGGGGGGCGGGGAGAGGCGCCGCCUUGGCCCCCCCACUCGCCCCGCCCUCCUCUCCUCCCCUUUCGGGAGGCCGCAGCAAGCAAUGAAUUCCAGAUGUGGUCUGGCUGCCCGGCGCGCGCGGAGGCCGGCGGGGGCGGUGCGCCAGUCCCUUUGUCCGCGCCCCCCCCCCCUCCCCCGGGCCCUGCCCCUCCCAGGUCCUCCCGUGAGAACCAGCUGGAGCUUGACGUCACUCGGCCCCGUGACUUUAUGUCCCUCCUCGCCAGGUGGCCUGAACCUGAAACAGCUGUCUGCAAGUACAGAUUUAUUCUGGCCCAUCCCUGGGACCCUGGAAUUGGAGGAGAGCACGGGAUCCCCUUUACUCAACAAGGAGCCACGAAGCACCUACUGUGUGUCAACGCAGCAAUCAGCCACCAAGGCCUAUUGUGUGUUCAUUUAAAAAAUAAUCAAGUUCCUACCAUGUGCCACGCACUGUCCCAAAUACAGAACUGAUUUUUGCCUUGAUGGGAUCCCAGAAUUCCGCGCUGCCUCCUGUCCCCUAGAAGACGAAACCCACAGCCUACCUGCUGUUGCCCAUGGCUGCCCCGCCCUCGCUGCCAGGUCCAAGUUGUACCCUGCCUUCCAACUUGGGGCCCAUCCUCUAUCUGGUUCUUGAGUUUCCCCCUCUUUUCCUCAUUCAGCCUGCACUAGUUGUGAACAUGCAUGAGUAACCUGCUUAUAUGUUUAUUUACCAAAUACAUGAAACAUCUGGUAGGUGCCAGACACUGUUCUAAAGGAUAGAGACAAAUCAGGGUACAAAACAGGUAAAACUCCCGGCCCCUUGCGACUGAUGUUCUACCUGAUGUGUGCAGAAUAUCCAGAAUAUUGCAAGAAGAAACUGGUAAAUGUCCUGGGGGAGGAGGCGGUUCCACUCUGUGAAUCCUUUGUACCUUUUGGCUGUUGUAACGUGCACAUUAUUGUACCAUGUUUAAAUAUUCCAACAAUAAAUUAAAUUAAAAAUUAA